UACGUAGGGUCCGAGCGUUGUCCGGAAUUACUGGGCGUAAAGAGCUCGUAGGUGGUUUGUCGCGUUGUUCGUGAAAACUCACAGCUCAACUGUGGGCGUGCGGGCGAUACGGGCAGACUUGAGUACUGCAGGGGAGACUGGAAUUCCUGGUGUAGCGGUGAAAUGCGCAGAUAUCAGGAGGAACACCGGUGGCGAAGGCGGAUCUCUGGGCCUUACCUGACGCUCAGGUGCGAAAGCUAGGGGAGCGAACAGG
rnacentral:rRNA from 1 species